UGCUACACUACAAGGUUGGGCCCGUGCCCUACAGAGUGAAGGACCUGACGACCUCAGUGCGGCGCGGCCGUCACGGUCAACCGAGAACAAUCAUUUGCCAUGACCUCGAUGAUCGCUAUCAUGACCGCUUCAUUUUUGGAAGUGCACAGACCGACUGCUGCCGUUUCCACUACUGGCAUUUAGUGAACGUAGUGAUCUACUACUCUCGCUACUUGGUCACCAUCCCACCGCCCGGCUGGAUCUCGGCGGCGCACACACACGGUACAAGGGUCCUAGGGACCGUGGUGCGCCAUCUGUGAUGCUGAGAUGACGUGUAAUCUGACCUCUAAGCUUGUACAAAUUGCAGCCAUGCACAAGUUCGAC